UACGUAGGUGGCAAGCGUUGUCCGGAUUUACUGGGCGUAAAGAGCGCGCAGGCGGUCGGAUCAGUCGAAUGUGAAAGCCCCCGGCUCAACUGGGGAGGGUCAUUCGAUACUGUCCGACUCGAAGGCAGGAGAGGGAAGCGGAAUUCCCGGUGUAGUGGUGAAAUGCGUAGAUACUGGGAGGAACACCAGUGGCGAAGGCGGCUACCUGGACCGGUUCUGACGCUGAUGCGCGAAAGCGUGGGUAGCAAACAGG
rnacentral:rRNA from 1 species